GGGUCAGUAGGUUGGUCGUGCCACCGGUACGUACUGGUCUCACUGAUUCCUCCUUCCUGAAGAACCGUAAUGCCAUUAAUUUGGUGUUGCGGGGAAACAGGACUGUUACUUUGAAAAAAUUAGAGUGUUUAUAGCAAGCUAACGCUUGAAUACAUUAGCAUGGAGUAAUGAAAUAGGACGAUCGAUCCUAUUUUGUUGGUUUCUAGGAUUGACGUA
rnacentral:rRNA from 1 species